rnacentral:rRNA from 1 species
GACGAACGCUGGCGGCGUGCUUAACACAUGCAAGUCGAACGGAAAGGCCCUGCUUUUGUGGGGUGCUCGAGUGGCGAACGGGUGAGUAACACGUGAGUAACCUGCCCUUGACUUUGGGAUAACUUCAGGAAACUGGGGCUAAUACCGGCUAGGAGCUCCUGCUGCAUGGUGGGGGUUGGAAAGUUUCGGCGGUUGGGGAUGGACUCGCGGCUUAUCAGCUUGUUGGUGGGGUAGUGGCUUACCAAGGCUUUGACGGGUAGCCGGCCUGAGAGGGUGACCGGCCACAUUGGGACUGAGAUACGGGCCAGAAUCCUACGGGAGGCAGCAGUGGGGAAUAUUGCACAAUGGGCGGAAGCCUGAUGCAGCAACGCCGCGUGCGGGAUGACGGCCUUCGGGUUGUAAACCGCGUUCGCCUGUGACGAAGCGGGAGUGACGGUAAUGGGUAAAGAAGCACCGGCUAACUACGUG